rnacentral:lncRNA from 1 species
GGAAUUGUCAACAAAGGGACGAGGGACGCACAACUCGGCACCACAGCGCGCGCCGGCAUCUCGCGGGCCCCGAGGGCGCUCCGGCCAGACGGGGGUCGAGGAAGCUCGUGGGUCCGCAACAGCAUCAUCUGGGGUUGCCAAAGGUCAGAAAAUGACUAUUGAUUAACCUAUUAGGAUACCUGUAGUUGCCGAGAGAAAUAAAAAACGACGUAAAAUAACCAACUAUUUUAAAAAAAGAAGCCUUAAAGAAGCUUCUCGGAGUAGUUAAAUGACUUUAGCAGAUGAAAAAAAGUCGGAAAUGAGGCGCCCGAGAAGGAGCCGAGAUUGGCAGCGGCCGGGGUGGACACAAACCCUCCAAGAUUUAACUUCCGCGGACGAAGCGAGGAUGAGACCAAUACACACACAAAAUUCCUUGGUAAGGAAAGGCAGGGAGGGUAGGAGAGUCUGUGGGGAUUUAAGUGGGACCUCGGGGAGACUGCUAACCGACCCCGAGUUCGUGGCGUGGGCGGGGCGCGUGGACAUUUCAAGGCGGACGGUGCCGCUGCCCCGGUGAGAUGAGCCUUCUCUUCCUUCCUCCUUGUAGGCCGCCUCGUUGCGGGCGGCGAACGCCUGCCUGGCGGGAAUGGUUCCUGAGCCCAAGUCCAGUCCACUGAGGCCUGGAGAGGGAAGGCUGGCAUCACCAGAGCAUGGUGCACCAGGGGAGGAGGUCGAGAGGAACUAAAGAGUGAAAUAUUUUCAGAAGUCACCCAGAAAACUCAUUUAAUUUUAGGUGGACGGUGGUGCUUCUGGAGCUCUCUCCCUCUCCUACAACUUUCCCCCGGCCUAGACACAUACUCCCUCCAGAGGAAAAUCCGUAAACUUGCUUCAUUACAUGCGAUGCGACACACAGAUUGGCUUUAACCAUCAUGAGACCAUUGCCCCGGGUAUGAACACUAGUUCACUCGAUCCCGACUCCGCAGGCGUUCCUGGUUGGGCCAGGGGGUCUCCCUUCCGAGACUCCCGUGAACCUCCGCGAUUUUUCUGUAUCUAAAUGAACCCCCGCCCCCGCUUGCACCUGACCCUAAAACGCAUCUCUGAGUUGAUUUCCGCAGCUGUAUGGUUUUUGUGGCCGGCCGGCUCCGAGCCGUUUACAAUGCUGUCUGUGCAACUCCAGAAGAACCAGCGUGAGCGGUGAGUUGGGCGUCGGUUGCCCCCGGCUGCUGCAGGGGUCGUGGCUGCAACUGCCCGAGCCAAUGAACAAUUACAAAAAGAAGGUCGGAAGGGCAAGAAAAAGAAACCAAAAUUUAUAAAUUGAGAGGCCCCUUUGCCCAGCUUUGGGUUGCCCAAUCCCAGGGCAGACGCGGGCCGCACGCGGUACCAGCCCCACGGUAGCCUGGGCUGCUGGGCGGGCAUGGGCGCGCGGGUGUGCGCGCGCUGGCGUGUUGCGGCUGCGGAGGCUGCCCGCGCACAUCUUUUUGAAGUAACCCACAAAUGAGCCUAAUUUCGAUUCCGCCGCCCGCAGGAGAUGGCUCCUGGAACUUCUCGGCGCCGCUGGCUCAACCUCGCCCUCCCUCCGCCGAGGUCCGGCUCAUCUGUCCAUUCCCCGGUGUCUCCUUGGAAUCUCCCUAGGGGAAGGGGGAAAGCAGCGGGUGGUGGUGAACAACUCCCAGCCGCCGGUUCCAUUUGUUGCGCUUUUAUCCUUCGACACAAUAAAAGUCAAAUUAAUUGAUUCAUACC